rnacentral:lncRNA from 1 species
UUUUUUUUUUUUGUCAGUUUACUAACCCCUGCAGGAGGCCUCGCAUUUGGGGGAGUAGCAGUCGAGGAAGCAGAGCUUGGCCCGGGGGCUGGCGGGGCGGCGGUGGGGGCACUCCGCCGGGCACCGGAGCUUCUUGCGGAAGCACGGGCUCCACCGGGGGCAGGUCAUCGAGCUCUCGCCAGCGGCGGUGGCGGCGAGGAAGAGCAGCAACCCCACCAGGGCGGGGCCGCCAGUCGCCGUCGUCAUCUCUCUGCAACCCCGCCGGCGAAGGAGAAGAAGACGGACUGGUAGGAGGAGAGAGAAGGGGCUCAGCCGGUGAGGGCUCCUGUCUCCCCUCUCCUUCCUCUGAAUAUAUAGGAGCCCUCGUGCGUCCUGGAUAAUCUGUUGGCUCCUCUUCCAUGGCGAAGAAGAUUGAAGGAGCUCAGGUGUGAAAGAGGCGGAGGAGGGAGAAGGCAGGCAGGAGUGGCGGGGAGCUUCUGGCCCCAGCUGGAGAGGUAGGGGCAAACCCAAUAGCCAGGGCUCCGGUCAGCAUCUCUUCUUCACCAUCUCCCUCCGUUUCUUGUUCUCGCUCCUUCUUCGUCAUCAGGAAGGUUUUGGAGGUAUCAGGCGAAGCGGGUGCAGGUCUGAUCGACUGUCCCAGAUCUCUCUUUCUCUCUCUUCUCUCUCUCUCUCUCUCUCUUCCUUGUCUGAAGUAUUCUGCCGAACAAGUGUGACCGGUGGGGUAGAGGGAGUUGGGCAGAUGGUAGGCAGCCUGAACCCUUCUCCACACAGAUCCAAAUGGGGCAUUUUUAUAGAAUUAACGAAGCUCGACGAGUGUUCUUCACAGCCGCCAUCAGCUAUCGAUGAGAUGACAGAAGAGUGGGUCAACCACGGUGGGUAUUUUUGCUCAUUGUUUCUUGUUACCCCAGAGAGAGAGAGAGAGAGAGAGAGAGAGAGAGAAUUAACAAGAUGAUAAUAAGGUGGCCUAGCAAAAAUUUAAUGGCAGUCUCAGGGAAGUCUCUCCUAAAACACAGGUGACUGAAGUGAUAAAAAGAUUAGCCGUGACUCUCUUCAUAGAGAGAGAAACAAGCAUAAGCGGGGGAAUUCAGAGGGCAAAGCAUCAAAAGCCCAGGUUCAAAACUCCAAUGUAGAGAGAGAAAGGGGUGGUGGG